ACGGGAGGCAGCAGUGGGGAGUAUUGCACAAUGGAGGGAACUCUGAUGCAGCAACGCCGCGUGAGUGAAGAAGUGAUUCGUCAUGUAAAGCUCUAUCAAAUGGGAAUAAGAUGAAGGUACCAUAAUAAGAAGCCCCGGCUAACUACGUGCCAGCAGCCGCGGUAAUACGUAGGGGGCAAGCGUUAUCCGGAUUUACUGGGUGUAAAGGGAGCGUAGACGGAAUGGCAAGUCUGAAGUGAAAGCCCUAUGCUUAACAUAGGAAUUGCUUUGGAAACUGUCAAACUAGAGUACUGGAGAGGUAAGUGGAAUUCCUAGUGUAGUAGUGAAAUGCGUAGAUAUUAGGAGGAACACCGGAGGCGAAGGCGACUUACUGGACAGAGACUGACGUUGAGGCUCGAAAGCGUGGGGAGCAAACAGGAUUAGAUACCCUGGUA
rnacentral:rRNA from 1 species